AUUGAACGCUGGCGGCAUGCCUUGCACAUGCAAGUCGAACGGCAGCACGGGGCAACCUGGUGGCGAGUGGCGAACGGGUGAGUAAUGCAUCGGAACGUACCUUUCAGUGGGGGAUAACGUAGCGAAAGUUACGGUAAUACCGCAUAUUCUGUGAGCAGGAAAGAAGGGGAUCGCAAGACCUUGCGCUGAUUGAGCGGGCGAUGUCAGAUUAGCUAGUUGGUGAGGUAAAGGCUCACCAAGGCGACGAUCUGUAGCGGGUCUGAGAGGAUGAUCCGCCACACUGGAACUGAGACACGGUCCAGACUCCUACGGGAGGCAGCAGUGGGGAAUUUUGGACAAUGGGGGCAACCCUGAUCCAGCCAUGCCGCGUGAGUGAAGAAGGCCUUCGGGUUGUAAAGCUCUUUCGGCCGGGAAGAAAUCGCACGGGCUAAUACCCUGUGUGGAUGACGGUACCGGAAUAAGAAGCACCGGCUAACUACGUGCCAGCAGCCGCCGUAAAAC
rnacentral:rRNA from 1 species